AGCCAUUUUGUCCUUAUUCAUAAACUCGUCAAAUAGGCCAAGGUGGAUGUCUAUGCACUCAGGUCUCAGGGGUUCAAAUUUCAUCAUCGAUCAUAUAUGCCCCAUCACCCACUUAACUGGAUAUCCAUAUUUAUUUAACACCCAUCUUACCUGUUCUACCACCUAUCUACUUACUUAAUCCAUCCCACAUUACGCCAAAAAAAAGAUUUUAUAGCGCUUUUAUUAUAGCGGUUUUGUUAAGAGUGCUAUAAAAUAGUCAAUUAAAAUCUAUCACUAUUAUAGCGGUUCUUUAAUAACCGCUAUUAAUAAUAUAACUAUUAUAGCGGUUUUCAAGUAACCGCUAUUAAAAGCUAUUUGUGGUACAGCUGAAACAAAAACCUUCAUUUGUCUACAUUACUUUCUCACCUUGAAUUAAUGGUCGUUGUUCAUUAUUAAAAAUCUCAUUACUCUAAGUCACUCAGAAACAAAUUUUCUAGCUGUUCUUUUUAUUUCAAUUUUCUUAUGCUUAGCCUUUUGGAUCUAGGUAUCAAAAAUUGGGUAUCAUCACAAAAUUGGGGUUCCAAAUAUUCAAAUUAGUUAAAGCAUGACACUUGAAAUUGGUUCAUGUUUAAGUUACAACCAAAAUCAAGAUUGAUCAAAUCUGAUUGAAUUUAAGGUGCCAAGCAAGAUGAUUGAGUUUUCCCAUAACUAGUACAUAGAUUACAGGAAUGUAUAUCCGUAAUAAAUUUCAUGAACAUUACAGAUGAAUUAGUUUUACCAUAGUAUAACUUUUGUUAUGUUUUUAUUAGAUUGUAUUAGUG